CAGCCGUAAACUAUGCGCGUUAGGUGUAUCGGUGACCACGAGUUACCGAGGUGCCGAAGGGAAACCGUGAAACGUGCCGCCUGGGAAGUACGGUCGCAAGGCUGAAACUUAAAGGAAUUGGCGGGGGAGCACCACAACAGGUGGAGCCUGCGGUUUAAUUGGACUCAUCGCCGGGAAGCUCACCGGAUAGGACAGCAGAAUGAUUGCCGGGCUGAAGACCCUGCAUGACUAGCUGAGAGGAGGUGCAUGGCGUCAGUGACU
rnacentral:rRNA from 1 species